AGUUUUGAUCAUGGCUCAGAUUGAACGCUGGCGGUAUGCUUAACACAUGCAAGUCGACGGUAACAGGCCUUCGGGCGCUGACGAGUGGCGGACGGGUGAGUAACGCGUAGGAAUCUGCCUCAUAGUGGGGGACAACGUGGGGAAACUCACGCUAAUACCGCAUACGCCCUACGGGGGAAAGCGGGGGGAUCUUCGGACCUCGCGCUAUGAGAUGAGCCUGCGUUAGAUUAGCUAGUUGGUAGGGUAAAGGCCUACCAAGGCGACGAUCUAUAGCUGGUCUGAGAGGACGAUCAGCCACACUGGGACUGAGACACGGCCCAGACUCCUACGGGAGGCAGCAGUGGGGAAUAUUGGACAAUGGGCGCAAGCCUGAUCCAGCAAUACCGCGUGUGUGAAGAAGGCCUUAGGGUUGUAAAGCACUUUCAAUUGGGAGGAAAACCUGCCGGUCAAUACCCGGUAGCUUGACAUUACCUUUAGAAGAAGCACCGGCUAACUCCGUG
rnacentral:rRNA from 1 species